rnacentral:rRNA from 1 species
CCUACGUGCGGCAGCAGUGAGGCAUAUUGGUCAAUGGGCGGGAGCCUGCACCAGCCAAGUCGCGUGCGGGACGACGGUCCUAUGGCUUGUACACCUCUUUUGUCGGGGAACAAAGGCGCCCACUGGUGGUCGGAUUAGUGUACCCGACUAAAAAGCAUCGGCUAACUCCUUGCCAGCAGCCUCGGUAAUACGGAGGAUGCGAGCGUUAUCCGGAGUUAUUGGGUUUAAAGGGUGCGUAGGCGGACAGUCAAGUCAGCGGUAAAAAUGCGGUGCUCAACGCCGUACAGCCGUUGAAACUGGCAGUAGUGAGUGGGCGAGAAGUAUGCGGAAUGAGUGGUGUAGCGGUGAAAUGCAUAGAUAUCACGCAGAACUCCGAUUGCGAAGGCAGCAUACCGGCGCCCGACUGACGCUGAGGCACGAAAGCGUGGGUAUCGAACAGGAUUAGAUACCCCAGUAGUC